CCCUUAGAUGUUCUGGGCCGCACGCGCGCUACACUGAUGCAUUCAACGAGCCUAUCCCUGACCGACAGGUCCGGGUAAUCUUUGAAUCUGCAUCGUGACGGGGAUAGAUUAUUGCAAUUAUUAAUCUUCAACGAGGAAUGCCUAGUAGGCGCAAGUCAUCAGCUUGCGUCGAUUACGUCCCUGCCCUUUGUACACACCGCCCGUCGCUCCUACCGAUUGGGUGUGCUGGUGAAAUGUUCGGAUCGGCCGUUUGUCGCGGUUUCCGCGUCAUGUGGCUGAGAAGUUCAUUAAACCCUCCCACCGAGAGGAAGGAGAAGUCGUAACA
rnacentral:rRNA from 1 species